ACUUACGAUUAGUUUUGCAGGUUUGCAUUUCAGCGUAUAUAUGUAUAUAUGGCUGUGCAAAUCCAUGCAAAACUGAUUGUGAUA
rfam:Myotis lucifugus cont2.2197, whole genome shotgun sequence.